CAACCCGCUGCCCUCUGGUGUCCUGCUGUGGGAGCUUUGUUCUUUCACUCUCGUAAUAAGUCUUGCUGCUGCUCACUCUUUGGGUCCGCACUGUCUCUGUGAGCUGUAACACUCACCGCGAGGUUCUGUGCCUUCGUUCUUUAAGUCAGGGAGACCACGAACCCACCGGGAGGAACAAACAACUGUGAUGCGCCAUCUUUAAGAGCUGUAACAUUCACCGCCGGGGUCUGCGGCUUCAUUCCUGGAGUGAGUGAGACCACGAACCCACCAGAAGGAAGAAACUCUGGACCCAUCUGAACAGCUGAAGGAACAAACUCCGGACACACCAUCUUUAAGAACUGUAACACUCACCGGGAGUCUCCGUGGCUUCAUUCUUGAAGACAGCGAGACCAAGAACCCACCAGAAGGAAUGAAUUCCGCACACAGCAACAGCACAAAGUUAAACCAGGAAGUCCCUCUGCCUUGCUAGGGAUCCAGGUUUGCCUUCCUGUUGAGGUAUCCCAUUUCAUUACAGUUGACCUAAGUUUGAACAAACACUGCCACCUGAUGCAUGAAAGCUCUACUGUGACCUACGUUAAAAGGAGCUGACACUCCCUCAGGCUACCUUAGUCAGUGGGGGCUUACUGCAGCAUACCUGUGGCGAUGAGAGAGAGAGGCACAUCACAGGAGCAUCUGGCACCAGUGGCAUCCUGAAUUUAAGAUGAAACAAUAGAGAAAGAACCAAGAAGUUACAUACAUUCAUCAGAAUUGCUGGAGAGUCCUGACCUCUGGCCAUCGAUCAAAGGGAAGCGUUCACUACUGAAGGUUUGUCUUCACUGUACUGGGUAUUCAACUUCCUUGAAAUUAAAAGGAAGAAGGAUAAAAAGUGGUAUGCUGAAUGGAUUAAAGGUCUUUUUGCCUGAUGCAGAAUAUUGCCUUGUUUCAACUCUUUAAUGAGUGGACUAUUCUCUGAAGCUGGCCCUCAGUCUUACUCUGGGUUCAUCAACCAAGGUCAAGAUCUGUCCACAUGCACGUAACAGGAGCACUUUUCCGAGAAUUGUAAAGGAGCCACGGUGCAAAGCCUUCUGGACCUGGGUCUCAUGUGAAAACUCAGCAAUGAGCCUCCUGGCCUGAGAUGAGCCUGCGGAGCACCUUGUUACAGCACGCAUAUGAUGUAUAUAAAAAAUGAACACAUGUAUUCCAAUUACACUGAUUUGAUCUUUACAAACUAUAUGGAUGUAUUAAAUUGUCACAUGUACCCUCAAAAUAUGUACAUCUAUUAUGUAUCAAUAAAAUAAUUAACAUAU
rnacentral:lncRNA from 1 species